GGGGAAUAUUGCGCAAUGGGGGAAACCCUGACGCAGCAAUACCGCGUGAGUGAAGAAGGUUUUCGGAUCGUAAAGCUCUGUUAUUGGGGAAGAAAAAAAGACGGUACCCAAGAAGAAAGUCCCGGCUAACUACGUGCCAGCAGCCGCGGUAAUACGUAGGUGGCAAGCGUUGUCCGGAUUUACUGGGCGUAAAGGAUGCGUAGGCGGAUAUUUAAGUGAGAUGUGAAAUACCCGGGCUCAACUUGGGUGCUGCAUUUCAAACUGGAUAUCUAGAGUGCAGGAGAGGAAAGUGGAAUUCCUAGUGUAGCGGUGAAAUGCGUAGAGAUUAGGAAGAACAUCAGUGGCGAAGGCGACUUUCUGGACUGUAACUGACGCUGAGGCAUGAAAGCGUGGGGAGCAAACA
rnacentral:rRNA from 2 species